UACGUAGGUGGCAAGCGUUGUCCGGAUUUACUGGGCGUAAAGGGCGUGCAGGCGGUCUGUUAAGUCUAGGGUGAAAGCUCCCGGCUCAACUGGGAGAGGUCCUUGGAUACUGGCAGACUUGAGGAGAGUAGAGGAGAGUGGAAUUCCCGGUGUAGUGGUGAUAUGCGUAGAUAUCGGGAGGAACACCGGUGGCGAAGGCGGCAUCCUGGACCAAUACUGACGCUGAGGAGCGAAAGCCAGGGGAGCAAACGGG
rnacentral:rRNA from 1 species